AUCCAGCUGACGAGUCCCAAGCAGGACGAAACGCACGUCUUAGAU
rnacentral:hammerhead_ribozyme from 1 species